UACGGAGGGAGCUAGCGUUGUUCGGAUUUACUGGGCGUAAAGCGCUCGUAGGCGGCGCCGUAAGUCAGGGGUGAAAUCCCGGAGCUCAACUCCGGAACUGCCCUUGAAACUGCAGUGCUAGAAUCCUGGAGAGGCGAGUGGAAUUCCGAGUGUAGAGGUGAAAUUCGUAGAUAUUCGGAAGAACACCAGUGGCGAAGGCGACUCGCUGGACAGGUAUUGACGCUGAGGUGCGAAAGCGUGGGGAGCAAACAGG
rnacentral:rRNA from 1 species